rnacentral:rRNA from 1 species
GAAACUCAGGCUAAUACCGCAUGAGCCCUUCGGGGGAAAGCAGGGGAUCUUCGGACCUUGCGCUAUUGGAUGAGCCUAUGUCUGAUUAGCUUGUUGGUGGGGUAACGGCCUACCAAGGCGACGAUCAGUAGCUGGUCUGAGAGGACGAUCAGCCACACUGGGUACUGAGACACGGCCCAGACUCCUACGGGAGGCAGCAGUGGGGAAUAUUGGACAAUGGGCGCAAGCCUGAUCCAGCAAUGCCGCGUGUGUGAAGAAGGCCUGCGGGUUGUAAAGCACUUUCAGUGGGGAGGAAAAGCUCAAGAUUAAUACCCUUGGGUCUUGACGUUAUCCACAGAAGAAGCACCGGCUAACUCUGUGCCAGCAGCCGCGGUAAUACAGAGGGUGCAAGCGUUAAUCGGAAUUACUGGGCGUAAAGCGCGCGUAGGCGGUUUGUUAAGUCGGAUGUGAAAGCCCCGGGCUCAACCUGGGAACUGCAUUCGAUACUGGCAGGCUAGAGUAUGGUAGAGGGAAGUGGAAUUCCGGGUGUAGCGGUGAAAUGCGUAGAUAUCCGGAGGAACAUCAGUGGCGAAGGCGGCUUCCUGGACCAAUACUGACGCUGAGGUGCGAAGCG